UACAGAGGGUGCGAGCGUUGUCCGGAAUCACUGGGCGUAAAGGGCGCGUAGGUGGCUUGCUAAGCGUGUGGUGAAAGCCCGGGGCUCAACCCCGGGUCGGCCGUGCGAACUGGCGAGCUGGAGCACUGUAGAGGCAGGUGGAAUUCCGGGUGUAGCGGUGGAAUGCGUAGAGAUCCGGAAGAACACCGGUGGCGAAGGCGGCCUGCUGGGCAGUUGCUGACACUG
rnacentral:rRNA from 1 species